rnacentral:rRNA from 1 species
AACGGCCGUACCAUGCUGAAUAUACCGGUUCUCGUUAGAUCACUGAAGUUAAGCAUCAUUGGGCGCGGUCAGUACUUGGGUGGGUAACCACCUGGGAACACUGCGUGCCGUU